GCAUUUCCUUCUCUGAAGACUCAGGUGUGGAAUGAGCGGGGCUGUGGGUGCAGCGUGGGCGAGACUCCUCUCAGCCUCCCUGGGCCUGAUCAAGGUCACCGACCCCCAGCUGUAGUCCCCAAGACUGGCUCCUGAUGGCUUUUGUGCCCCGCUCAGCAAAAGCCCAGCUGGGAUCCUCUUGGUGGCCCAGACAGAGGUGACCACAUAGUAUAUCGUCUUUCAAGGCUGGGAGGGAACUCUGUUAGUAAUUACUCCUGGGGCAUACCAGGGCUGUGGCAGGAAACGGAGUAUGUCACCGACAGAGACGCAGAUUCCCUGGCAGGAUGCAUGCCGGCCGGCACAUGCCUCGGAGCGCGAGAGGGGCCUGUGAUCGUGCGGUGCUUACGUGCUUCACGCGUGUGUGCGGAAGCACGGGUGAGCCCGUGGGGAGCAUGGCGCGCUGC
rnacentral:lncRNA from 1 species